rnacentral:lncRNA from 1 species
GAGGUUCAAAGGGGGCUUUACCAACUUGUUAUUGGGUAAAUUGUGUUGCUAUUUAGGAUUUAGUUGUUUGGGGCUCCUCUGCUGCUGUAAAAACAGUUAUGUUCGUGUUAUUCAAAUCAUACCAGUGAACAUAAACACAAAAAUGAAUAGGAAAUGAAGAUGAUUUUUUUGUAUGUUAAUGUACUUAAAACAUGGGAAACUUAUGUUUAAUUACUUACACUUUUUAACAGGAUUCACAGUCCUUUCCCCCACUGACCUACUCUUUGUCCACUGUAUCAGGACAGGCUCACCCAGGUUGGCAUCGCUCUUCCUAAUGAAGUUGGCCCAGUAGUCAGAAUAGAACUGAAGAUCUGUUGGGUGAAGUAGUACAAGAAGUAUUAACAACUGUCUAGAAAAAUGGAAUCCAUUAUCAGAAACUUAAAUCACAUUUUUAUUGCAUUUAAAGUGUUCAAUAUUAAAAAUGUUGAAACAAAAAUGGUUGUUUCAUACAUAUUUUGAGUUAGGCAUUGAACAAAAUACAAGUUGCUGAGUAAUGAUACUGCUGAUAGACCUGCAGGAUAUAAGUACGUUGAAGUGUACAGAUGUAAUCAGUGAUGUAUUUAGUGAAAUGUAUAGCAAAUAUAUCAGAACAGAAAUAUUUUUUUUACCACUUAGUCUAUAACUUGUGAUUUUGUCAUUAUUAGAGUUCCUGUGAGAGCAGUUGUACUGUAAGAGAGUUACAAAUAUUUAAACUUUGCAGAAGAGUUCGUUAAGUUUAUAAUUAUUGUGUGAAAUUCCAUAUUAUGCUACUAAUUUGCUCUCUUUUAUUUUAUUCCCUGUUGCUGCGUUGCUUCAGCCAAGACUUGCAGAACUAAGCCAACCCCUGGCUUAGGGCUAGAGAUCACAGACACCAAUAUGGAGGAUGACCAAAUAGCGUUUUAUUAAACAACAGCAGGCAUUAUAUGCCUUUCGGCCACACGGAAGUACCUGUGCUGACCCAAUCAGAAGAAUCAUGGAAUGGUUUGUGUUGAAGUGACCUUAAAGAUCAUCUAGUUCUGGCCCCCCUGCCAUGAGCAGGGGCACCUUCCACUACACCAGGUUGCUGAAAACCUCAUCCAACCUGGUCUUGAACACUUCCAGGGAUGGGGCAUCCACACCUUCUCUGAGCAACCUGUUCCAGUGCCUCACCACCCUUGUAACGGGGCUGUAUGUGUUAGUUACAACUUCUACACUUAGAAAUCUUUAAAGAGCUUCAUGAAAAUAGAGAAUUCUUCCAGUUUCUUAUUCAAAUACAAAAAA